UGGAUGAGGAGUUUGUGGAUAAGGUAGCGGAUCGUUUUGAGCAGAGUUUUAAUAGACUUGGGAAGUUUACCAAGUUAGCCUUUCAGAGGUUUUGUCCCCGUUUUCAUAAGGAGGAGAGUGUGUGCCUAUAAAACCGGGUCAGCCAUAGCCAUUAAAGGAGAGAAGACCAGACGAGAUUGAGCAAGACAGAGCUAAGAGAGCAAACAAUCCUAAGAGCCAGGACCAUUGGUGCGAAGAGAGAUUUCUUCUGCUGAGCCUCUGUUUCAGGGUUUUCAUCUGAUCAGCCUGUGUGGCCACCAUCUUGACACCUGACAUUUUAACAUGGGUAACAAUCCAUCAAGUUGGAUAUUGCUGAAACCUUGAAACCAUGCUGGAGAGAAUGGUAAUAGAAGAGGCGCUUCUCAAGGUAUUGGGCUUAAUAAAACCAUGACCCUAAAAAAUACACCACUGUUUAUGUAAAUAUUUAUUUAGAUUAAUUAAUCUGGUCAGGACCUCUGAUGGGUUUGUUUUUUUUUUCUUGAAAGAUGACUAGUCCUUGAGUGUUGAGGUUGGGAGGUCAAAUCCCGCUCAAGUUGGUUUGGCUUAUCUUAAUGGUGGCCGGGUGGUUUUAGCUUGAUUAUGUACCUGGUGAGUAAGGCACAAAGUUUUUCUCUAGGCCCUUCCAAGUUUCCUUGCUUGAGUUAGUACACAUCACUCUAGCCUUCCACCAGUGAUGUUUCCUGUUUCACCUUACCCGGGUUAGUACACACCACUGUGGCACUUCUCCAGUGAUGUAGCCUGUUUCACCUUGCCUGAGUUUUUAUACACCUUGUACACACCACUAUAUCCCUUCACCAGUGAUGUAGCCUCUUUUACCUUGCCUGAGUUUGUAUACAUCUUGUACACACCACUAUAUCCCUUCACUAGUGAUGUAGCCAGUUUCACCUUGCCUGAGUUAGUACACACCACUAUAUCCCUUCACCAGUGAGGUAGCCAGUUUCACCUUGCCUGAGUUAGUACACACCGCUAUAUCCCUUCACCAGUGAUGUAGCCAGUUUCACCUUGCCUGAGUUAGUACACACCACUAUAUCCCUUCACCCGUGAUGUAGCCAGUUUCACCUUGCCUGAGUUAGUACACACCACUAUAUCCCUUCACCAGUGAUGUAGCCAGUUUCACCUUGCCUGAGUUAGUACACACCACUAUAUCCCUUCACCAGUGAUGUAGCCAGUUUCACCUUGCCUGAGUUAGUACACACCACUAUAUCCCUUCACCAGUGAUGUAGCCAGUUUCACCUUGCCUGAGUUAGUACACACCACUAUAUCCCUUCACCAGUGAUGUAGCCAGUUUCACCUUGCCUGAGUUAGUACACACCACUAUAUCCCUUCACCAGUGAUGUAGCCAGUUUCCAGGCCAGCCAGAAAUAGAUUUAGUUGCCAAUAAACUGUCAGACUGGCAAUCUUACAUGUGGAGGCAACUGAAUGGAGUGUGCAAGGAGAUCUAAUACCUUUCUAAAUAACCUAACGGUUAAACCUUCUGACUUAAAAUUAAAGUACAACACCAGACUAGAUGUAUGCAUGCAUUGAUAAAGUAUCCCGCAUAAAGUUUCAAAAGUGUACUUUUUUUUCUCGUGAUGUCGUGUAGCCCAUAUCGCAGUUCAUAGGAAGGAAAAUUUUACCCAUUGAGAAAAUCAAAAGUGCUGGCAUGUUAGCAGUUUUAACCAAUCGGGUAGAAGUUACUUCAACCCCUGGGAGGGACUGUUUCUGCUGAUGUCAAUCAAACCCUGGUGUCCUUUCCUCUAAAGUUGCAGGAGCCUUUUGCUCAGAGUGACUGUAGGUUGAUUUUAAUUACCAUGUUAAAAACAUAUGUUGCCAUUGUAGUUAAAGACAACUUAGCCAAAGAUCGCUUUGUGCAAGGGUCCCUUCCAAAUACGCAGGAGCUUGAUCUGUACAAGAGACGUUUGACUGCAGCCAGCACUGCGAUUUUAUUCAUUUAGUUGACAAGGCCAGUGAGCACCCUGAAAUGUUCUUGAGUACCAUCAAAUGAAGAUCCCGCAUUUCAUUUUAUCCCAUGUGCAUGGUUUGAUGCGGCUUGAUGCGGAAUGUUUAGGGUCUAGUUCAGGAGGAUUAUUGCAACAAAUGUGUAAUGUUACAAAAUGUACAAGUUGCUACAAUACAUGUUUCAACAUGUUUUGCUGCAUCAUACUUGAUUUUGUUGCUACGUCAUCGCUGCCUGCCAGGAAAGAACGUAAUCUGUCAGAGGCCCAAAAUGUGACACCAAUGCCAGGCCCAGAAACUAAGGCCACUAAAAUAUAUUUGUAAAUAUCACUUUCAGAAUGCCGACCCAAGACGAUUGUGUGCCAGAAUCCUAUGCAAACCUUCUGUGAUUGCCUGGAGGCCUGUACCAACCCUGUGUACACACAGAUCAUACUGUUGUUUCAGUCUAAGGAAACUGGUAAUUUCCGACAAGGUUUGGAGUAUGUCAUACUAGGCCAACGUGAAAACGUAACCCGGCAUGACGGAACUUCUCUACAGGUUGAAGUAGCUAUGGAUCGUGUCAAUAGACGACUCUUCGGGCUGUAGGUGAAUAAUUCAGUACUUAAGAUUAUUGUAAUAUCCUGUACCUACGAUCUAAUGGACCUAAAAUCUUGCACAUUUUUCCCAGCAACCUGCAGAUGGCCAGCGGAUUUUCCCUUGCUCUGCUUGUUUUCCUCCCACCAUAAGGCUGGCCACUGUCUUAUAAGUGAAAUAUUCUUGAGUAUAGCUUGAAAUACCAAUCGAAUAAAUAAAUCAGAUCUUGUAAGCGACGCAUUUUGCUUCAUUCUGAUUGAUUCACUUUUGAAGAGCCACUUUAAGUUUUUGAUAGAAGUUUGAUCAAUUUCUUAUCAGAAAAACUGAUGCGCAUGGGCACCAAAAGUAUCAAUUUAAGAUCAUUGUGCUUCAGAAAGUGCAUUUUUGCAUACAAACCUGUGAGAAAAAAGUGUUGGCAUCAAAAGCACCAUGCUAAGACUUUUAUGUGCUCUAUAAAUGACAGACAAGUGUAAGUGAAUGCUGUUCUGUGUUUACCGUGUCUUU